rnacentral:snRNA from 1 species
AGAUGGGAGGGCAAUCUGGCUGCAGCAUCUUACCCCGUUGGCUAGUUGAUUCUGCUGACCUGGCUGGCUCNGAGAGUGUCCCUCCUCUCCUGUCCCCUCCAUGUGUACCUCUCUAGAACUUGCCUACCUGGUCAGAGAGGACAGUCUUCCCCAACAGAAGAGGACUGUUCUUCCAUCAAAGAUCCCUGAGUAUCUGCACCCCGUGCUCCAUACUCCAGGAAUCACAUCCUCCAUCACCAGUGGCUAGUGCA